rnacentral:rRNA from 1 species
AAUGAACGCUGGCGGCAUGCCUUACACAUGCAAGUCGAACGGCAGCAUGACCUAGCUUGCUAGGUUGAUGGCGAGUGGCGAACGGGUGAGUAAUGCAUCGGAACGUGCCUUUUAGUGGGGGAUAACGUAGCGAAAGUUACGCUAAUACCGCAUAUUCUCUGAGGAGGAAAGCAGGGGACCUUCGGGCCUUGCGCUAGAAGAGCGGCCGAUGUCGGAUUAGCUAGUUAGUGAGGUAAAGGCUCACCAAGGCAACGAUCCGUAGCGGGUCUGAGAGGAUGAUCCGCCACACUGGGACUGAGACACGGCCCAGACUCCUACGGGAGGACGCAGUGGGGAAUUUUGGACAAUGGGCGCAAGCCUGAUCCAGCCAUGCCGCGUGAGUGAAGAAGGCCUUCGGGUUGUAAAGCUCUUUCGGCUGGGAAGAAAUCGCACCCUCUAAUACAGGGUGUGGAUGACGGUACCAGCAUAAGAAGCACCGGCUAACUACGUG